GACGGGGGAUGCAAGCGUUAUCCGGAAUCACUGGGCGUAAAGCGUCUGUAGGUGGUGAUGCAAGUCACUGGUGCAAAACUCUGGCUCAACCGGAGGAAAGCCAGUGAAACUGCAUGACUAGAGUGUGGGAGAGGUAGAAGGAAUUCCCUGAGUAGCGGUGAAAUGCGUAGAGACAGGGAAGAACACCGGAGGCGAAAGCGUUCUACUGGAACACAACUGACACUGAGAGACGAAAGUUAGGGGAUCGAAUGGG
rnacentral:rRNA from 1 species